GACAGAGGUGCCAAGCGUUAGGCGGAAUCACUGGGCUUAAAGCGUGUGUAGGCGGGCGGGCAAGUACCUUGUGAAAUCCCACGGCUCAACCGUGGAACUGCUGGGUAUACUGCCUGUCUUGAGCCAGCCAGGGGCAGUCGGAACAGACGGUGGAGCGGUGAAAUGCGUAGAUAUCGUCUGGAACGCCAAAAAUGAAAACAGACUGCUGGGGCUGUGCUGACGCUGAGACACGAAAGCCAGGGGAGCGAACGGG
rnacentral:rRNA from 1 species